rnacentral:lncRNA from 1 species
UAAUUGUGGUGAAGAAAAUAACAGCAGAAGAAGGCAGCUGAAGCAAAAAGUUACCAAGAUAACAAACCCUACUUCCCAGUCAAAAGGAAUAUGGAAAAUCCCACAUAUAUGAAAAGAGCGUGCUAUCUACACACAUCUUUUUACCUUUCAUACAAUCUUCUCAAUUUCCGAUCAUCAGCUCGAAUGAAAUGAAGAAGAUCAAAUGAUAGAAAUUAACUUAAAAUGUGUAAAAGAUAAGCGAGGUGUGUAGAUAGCACAACCCAUAUGAAAAAAACAUAUAGAUUAAUAAUUGACUUUUACUUUUACAGUUUAGAUUUAGGGUUUGGUUUGUUGAAGGAAGGGCAGGUUCUGGCUUGGGAUCUGCAUUUAUCUCCUACAGUUAGUAAAAUAUUUUCAGUCUACAUGGGUUGUUAGGGAUACAACAAGUCAAAGGAAGAGGUGGAAUUUGGUUGGUUGGUUAGCAAUUUUUUACUUCUUCAAAUUGUACAGCAGAGUGAAAAAGUUACAUAUUUUGAUAGUGAUUUCUUUGUUCUUCGCUUUCUUUUUAUUUGCUUCUCAUUUUGUUACCCCCAACAAUGAAUUUUGAAACGCGAAUCCACCCUCUUAAUUUAGCUUCUGCCACUCUAUCGAUAUGAAGUGUCAAAGUUAAAUCAAGGACGGACAAUGAUUUUAAAAUGAGCUGAGAUAGUUUAUACUUGAUGUAGAAAACUAUAAGAGAACUCGAUUUAAAAUGAGUUGAGAUUGGUGCCGGGGGUUGGCACUUAUAGGCCGCUAUCAAUAUGGGAUAGAGUUUAGUUUUAAUCUCAGGAGUCAAUCAUGGUUGGCCGAACGAAACAUUGCUACUAGGGGUGGGACAUUUGUAAUCCGCUAUCAACCGUGACAUAAUUUAUACUAAAGUCAUCACUUUUAACGUAGUAACGCCCUUUAAGAAAAAUAAAAAAUUUCUCCGUGAGUGCGCCGGGUGCUAAAGCGUGCCGAACUUAGGGUGUUAUUUUUCGGUCGGCUACUAUUCACCCGUUACUAUUCCUGUGCUACUAUUCAUACUCUCCUAAACCCUAAACCAUCAAUUUUAUUUAUUUUAUUUUAUUUUUUUGUUAAUUUUUUUUUCCCUUACCAUAACCAAACUAUCACUUCAUGUUCUACAAAACGUAUUGGCGGUAAAAAAAAAAUUCUUAUAAUCCAUGUCAAAACACACUCGAAAACAAGGAUAUAAAUAUGAAUCUAUAUAAAGUAAGGUAGGAAGGAAAAAAAAAUUCAAUAGAAAAAGAAAAAAGCAGAAAAUAAAUAAAUAAAAUAGAAAAUGAUACGAUCGGUAAUGUCUACCGAUUGUCCACGAUAAUGAUCACUAUAAAAGUAGCGACUUGAUUGCAUAUUAGUCGCUAUUAUCAUACCGAUCCUCCCUUUUCAAUUUUUUUUCUUUUUUAGCUUUUUAUUAUUUAUUUUUUAAAAAUUUCUUUUAUUUCUCUUACCAUAACAACAAACCAUCAUAUUUAUGUUCUUCAAAAUAUAUUUUUCCUUGCAAAAUUUAUUAUAAUUCAUAUUUAAACAUUUGUCAUCAACGAUUUAAAAAUAUUUGAAUUUAAUAGUGGUUACUCAAAUAAAUAAAUAAAUAAAUUGGAAUAGGGAAAAGAUUGGUACCAUGCUAUCGAUCCUUGCCCAACCGUACAUAAAUCACCGUUCAAUCUAUUUAUUUUCACCUUCGCCUCACCGUGAAGUUUUGAAAAUUAAGAUAAGACUUUCCUUUGAGAUUUUUGAGGGUGGAACCCCAUUUGACAAUGUUUUGGGCCUCACUAUUAUAUUUUUCACUUAUUUUUUAGUUUUCGGCAUAAAUAAUCUGCUAAAUAUACAUUUAUUACUCAAUAAAUCGUAAAUAUGCUUCCAGAUGCCUUAUAAAGUUUUCCUUAAUGCUCACAAAAAAAUAUUUUUCAAAAAUAAAAUAUUUGCAUUUUUGACAAAAAAAACGUGGAUUAACACUCACGAUUUUUAGUCGGUUUUGUAAAUUCAUAUAUAUAUAUCAUCGUUCAAUCUACUUAUUCACCUUCGCUUCACCGUAAAGUUUUGAAAAUUAAUGUAAGACUUUCCGUUGGUAUUCUUGAGGGUGAAACCGCUUUUUUAUAAUGUUUUGGGCCUCCCUACUAUAUUUUUUACUUACUUUCUUAGUGUUCGGUUUAAAUGUUCUACUAAAUAUACAUUUGUUAAGUUUUAAAAAUUAGUGUAAGACUUUUCGUUGAUAUUCUUGAGGAUGGAACCCCAUUUAGAGCCUAGUGCAAGAGUCCAAGUUCCAUAUCAACUUGGGCCGCCACAUAAAAGAAAUCAAGUGAUUGGGUUAUCACAAAAUUAGUUGGCCCAAUUGGAGUAAAAGCAACAUACAAAAUGCCAACUCUCUCUUUGCACAUCGAGAGUACACUCUGUAGCGUGUUAAGUCCGGUGAGAUAGAAAAAAGAAAGAAAUAUAUAGUCCGUUAGACCAUUUUCAAAGAAAAUAUCAAAUUUUAAAUAUGUUCCCUUGCAUCUAAGUUGGAGUCUCGUUUCUGUAGUGAAGUUGUUUAGAAUAUUGUCAUGUUAGGCAGAAAGAUUAAUCAAAUUUUCGGUGCUUGAUGAAAAUGACACACAGGAAUGUCCUGAAGGCCACCAUUGAUGUUCCUGAAGCAGGAGAAGCCAACUUUCAUUGCACCCACCUCGAUCAUCUUGAUGAGAGUUGGAGGAUGAGGCAGAUUAAUGCUAUAAUCCAAUCAAGCAAUGAGCCCCACAUCUUGGCUGGAGACCUCAAUUCUUUGGAUGAGUCAGACUACUCUCAAGAAAGAUGGACUGAUAUUGUAAAGGUGAGACAUGAUGACACUUCCAAAUUAUCAGAAAUUAUCUGUACAAGACCUCCGGUUUUUACCAAAAGGACCGAUUUUGUACGGAUAACACAUCUAUGCAUUUUGUUAUUAACAUGUAAUCUAUCAAUGUUUUCAACAGUUCAUCAUUUAGUAAGUAAAUAAAAAGAACGUCAUGUUCAGAGAAGAACUGUACAAAUUAUGUACCUAACAAUGCUUUGAUUUGUUUUGGCUGCAGUAUUAUGAGGAUAUGGGUAAACCAAGGCCUAAGGUUGAAGUAAUGAGAUACUUGAAGAGCAAGCAGUACACAGAUGCAAAGGACUUUGAAGGAGAAUAUGAGUCAGUAGUUAUGAUUGCCAAAGGCCAAAGUAAACCAACCCGAAACCCUAAUGUUAACUUGUUACCUGGUUUGAGCUUGAGCGCUAUUGUUUUUCUAAAUGCAUAAUUUUGUACCUUAACGCAGGUGUGCAGGGAACAUGCAAGUACGGAACGAGAGUAGAUUAUAUAUUAGCAUCUGCAAACUCACCUUACAAAUUUGUUCCUGGAUCAUACUCAGUGUUUUCUUCCAAGGGGACAUCAGAUCAUCAUAUAGUAAGAGUUGAUGUUGUUAAAGUGGAUAAUUGUGGUGAAGAAAAUAACAGCAGAAGAAGGCAGCUGAAGCAAAAAGUUACCAAGAUAACAAACCCUACUUCCCAGUCAAAAGGAAUAUGGAAAAUCCCACAUAUAUGAAAAGAACGUGCUAUCUACACACCUUUUUUUACCUUUCAUACAAUCUUCUCAAUUUCCGAUCAUCAGGUCGAAUGAAAUGAAGAAUAUCAAAUGAUAGAAAUUAACUUAAAAUGUGUAAAAGAUAAGCGAGGUGUGCAUAUAGCACAACCCAUAUGAAAAAAAACAUAUAGAUUAAUAAUUGACUUUUACUUUUACAGUUUAGAUUUAGGGUUUGGUUUGUUGAAGGAAGGGCAGGUUCUGGCUUGGGAUCUGCAUUUAUCUCCUACAGUUAGUAAAAUAUUUUCAGUCUACAUGGGUUGUUAGGGAUACAACAAGUCAAAGGAAGAGGUGGAAUUUGGUGUGGUUGGUUAGCAAUUUUUUACUUCUUCAAAUUGUACAGCAGAGUGAAAAAGUUACAUAUUUUGAUAGUGAUUUCUUUGUUCUUCGCUUUCUUUUUAUUUGCUUCUCAUUUUGUUACCCCCAACAAUGAAUUUUGAAACGUGA